UACGAAGGGGGCUAGCGUUGUUCGGAUUUACUGGGCGUAAAGCGCACGUAGGCGGAUUGUUAAGUCAGGGGUGAAAUCCCGGAGCUCAACUCCGGAACUGCCUUUGAUACUGGCAAUCUUGAGGCUGGAAGAGGUUAGUGGAAUUCCCAGUGUAGAGGUGAAAUUCGUAGAUAUUGGGAAGAACACCAGUGGCGAAGGCGACUACCUGGCCUGUUCUUGACGCUGAGGCGCGAAAGCUAGGGGAGCAAACGGG
rnacentral:rRNA from 1 species